UACGUAGGGGGCAAGCGUUGUCCGGAAUCAUUGGGCGUAAAGAGCGUGUAGGCGGCUCGGUAAGUCCGCUGUAAAAGUCCAGGGCUCAACCCUGGAAAGCCGGUGGAAACUGUCGGGCUAGAGUCCGGAAGAGGCGAGUGGAAUUACGGGUGUAGCGGUGAAAUGCGUAGAUAUCCGUAGGAACAUCCGAGGCGAAAGCGGCUCGCUGGAUCACAACUGACGCUGAGAGACGAAAGCUAGGGGAGCAAACAG
rnacentral:rRNA from 1 species